rnacentral:rRNA from 1 species
UACGGAGGAUGCAAGCGUUAUCCGGAAUGAUUGGGCGUAAAGCGUCCGUAGGUGGUUAAUCAAGUCAGCUGUUAAAGCGUGGAGCUUAACUCCAUAAAGGCAGUUGAGACUGGUUGACUGGAGUGCAGUAGGGGUAGAAGGAAUUCCCUGUGUAGCGGUGAAAUGCGUAGAUAUAGGGAAGAACACCGACGGCGAAAGCAUUCUGCUGGACUGUUACUGACACUGAUGGACGAAAGCCAGGGGAGCGAAAGGG